UAAAAUGUAGCUCAGUAUCAGAGUGCUUGCCUAGAAUGCAGGAAGCCCUGGCUUCAAUUCCCAGUAACUUAA
rnacentral:tRNA from 1 species